UCUGUUUUUUAAGGAAAAAAGGUAUACAUUUUUAACUUUUCCCUCCAUUAUGAAUAAAGUUUCACUUAUAUAUAAACUAUAUGUACUGGCUAUACCCAAGUCAUACAGACCACCUAUUGCAAGAUCAACCACCCUUAUUCACAACAGCUGGAACCCCCUAAAAACGGGACCACUAUUCAGACAUACGCACUCAGCCACGAGGACGCCGUCCGGCAAUGCCACUGCUUGUCUGAAUGCCGCCAUCUGCCUGCAUCCAUUAAAGGGGUAUUCCAGGAAAAAACAUUAUAUACACUAUUGCUUUAUCGGUCUUAUUUUUAUUUAUGUUUUAUCAAAUUAAUUUUUUUAUUGAUUUUAUAUUGUGACAAACGUUGUAUAAUAAAUUGUUUUGCAUUUCUAUCAAUCUAACUGUCUAUAAUUUUUGUUCAUUGUGUAUCAUCCUUGAGGUGUGGUUAAUAUAUUACUAUUGAGAUCAUUUACAAAUCUGUUUAACUUUCUGGAGCCAGUUGAUAUAUAAAAAAGUUUUUUCCUGGAAUACCCCUUUAACGGCCUCAUUUACCACAUUCCUAUCUCCACCACGGCUGGAUGCAUCUCCGUGCCAUAUCGGAAGGAUACCGGGACAUCAGGAUUCAUUGCGCAGACUUCAAUAUCGAGCCGGCAGCCCAGCCGUUCCAGCCUGCAAUACGGAGCCUAGAUCCAACAAGGCUACCAUCCCGGGACCUCCAACGCUAGCGGAGCGGUCUGGCAUCUGAAAAUAAAUAAGGAAAUGGUAUGUGAGAUGACGGACAAUAGAGACUUUCAUACAGCACCAAGUGUGUUAUAUGUAUGAUCUCUGAAAGUCUGACAACCAGGACCCCCAGUGAUCUCAAGAAUGGAAGUCCCUGAUUGCCCAUUGGAGGGCACAUCCAUUUAAGUGGGACUGAGUGAGACUGCCCUUGGCUAUUGGUGUCUGUCCCAUAACAGUCAGUGAACUACCAGCAGUUAGGCCGAUGAGUCCUGAGGAGAGUGGGUCCAAGACGGACAUUGAAGCAGCAUCUGCCACACAGGAUGGGCAGGAGUGCAGAAGAACAUGUGGUUCUGCACUGGGUCACCACAAUAGGAGUUACACAAACUGUGUAACAUGUCUACUCUGCUGUGUAUGACUUUUUUGGUGUGGUCUCUGGUGGCCACAAUCAAGCUCUCAAUUCUGUGAACAAUCUAACAAAAAUCAUAUUGCAUUGCAUAUUGGUUUUACAGCAGGUAACAUAUCCAAUAAAGCCGGCUUCACAUGGGUGUAAUACUGCUGUAAAUCCCCUUCUGAUGACCCCAACAUGACAGCUAUCAGUUCAGGUCAUUAGACCCCUGGUCAGGCCGGGAUUUGAGGCCGUAAAGAAGACGCAUAUAUGUAACUAUAAUACGCAUGUAUGAGCAAGCCUGUGUUUCUAUCCCUGAAUGCCCCCUUUAAUCUUCUCCCUUUUUUGAAAACUAUUUCUUGACUUCUUCUUUACUUUGAUAGUGUUGAUAUUUUUUGUGACUACUUUUUCCCAUUAUUCGUAUAGAGAACAACAACAAAAAAAAUAUUUUGUGAGGCCGCACCGGAGGCAACUUCUACCAUUAAUUCUGAGUAUAAUUACGAAGCGUAUGAAGAACAUUACUGUAUAUCAUUUACUUUCUCAGUCAGUAAUGACAACGCAGCAUCCUCCUGUCACAGCACAUUAAUGAAGAGAAAUCAUUUGUCUGGCAUUGGGUUCAGAACGAGAUGAAAGGUCUGCUGGGCAGGCAACCAUAAACAUGUCUCAUUCCCUUUCCAGCGUACAAUCUCAUUACUAAAUGGCACUUUGAUUCCCAGGACGCAGCACAAGCAGACAGGGAAGAACACACAAAUCUAUACUCCGAAGACACUGUCCCCAAAUUGACAAACUGUCCUCCUCAUUGAGACGUUAUAAACAAAGGGAAAAAAUCGACACAAUAGAAUAUAGAGGAGAUUAGAUACACAAAUAACCACACAAAUAUAACAGAAUGACAUAUGCCAGACAUAGUUGGAUCCCUGAAUAAAUAGAAACUUCCCUGAGUCUAUUACUGUUAGUUAUUACUUGCAUUACAUCAUUAGGUAAACUUCCAUUGUAAAGCCCAGUGCAUACAAGUUCAUAUGUGGAUGGCAAUUUUGGGGAAAUGGAUGCAAAAAAAAAUUGUU